rnacentral:rRNA from 1 species
UAUUUAUUAGAUAACAGACCAAUAUUCCUCGUGUCUAUUGUGGUGACUCAUAGUAACUGAUCGGAUCGCAUGGCCUUGUGCCGCGACUAACCAUUCAAGUUUCUGACCCAUCAGCUUUCGAUGGUAGUGUAUUGGACUACCAUGGCUUUCACGGGUAACGGAGGAUUAGGGUUCGAUUCCGGAGAGGGAGCCUGAGAAACGGCUACCACAUCUAAGGAAGGCAGCAGGCGCGUAAAUUACCCAAUCCUGACUCAGGGAGGUAGUGACAAGAAAUAACGGGUCGGGGCAUUCGCCUCGGGAUUGCAAUGAAUCGAAUUUACACCCCUUAAUGAGGAUCAAUUGGAGGGCAAGUCUGGUGCCAGCAGCCGCGGUAAUUCCAGCUCCAAUAGCGUAUAUUAAAGUUGUUGCAGUUAAAAAGCUCGUAGUUUGAUUUCUGGACGGGCGCCAACACCCGCUUGUUUAGUGUGGAGGCGGCGCCCGCCCAUCCUUCUGUUAACGCCACCGGCAUUCAUUUGCUGGCGGCGGGCUCAGAUAUUUUACCUUGAGAAAAUUAGAGUGUUGCACGCAGGCUUGCGC